ensembl:misc_RNA Y_RNA Y RNA
UGCUGGUCUGAGGGUAGUGAGUUAUCUCAACUGAUUGUUCAUAGUCAGUUAUAGAUCAAACUUCUUGUUCUACUCUUUGCCCCCUUCUCACUAUUGCACUUGAGUAGUCUUAA